rnacentral:rRNA from 1 species
UACGUAGGCAGCGAGCGUUGUUCGGAAUUACUGGGCGUAAAGAGUGUGUAGGCGGUGCUCUAAGUUCGGUGUGAAAUCUCCCUGCUUAACUGGGAGGGUGCGCCGGAAACUGGAGUGCUCGAGCGUGGGAGAGGAAAGCGGAAUUCCUGGUGUGAGCGGUGAAAUGCGUAGAGUAUACAGGAGGAACACCUGCGGUGUAGACGGCUUUCUGGACCAUUGCUGACGCUGAGACACGAAAGCGUGGGUAGCAAACAGG